rnacentral:rRNA from 1 species
GGGGAAUAUUGGACAAUGGGCGCAAGCCUGAUCCAGCAAUGCCGCGUGGGUGAAGAAGGUUUUCGGAUUGUAAAGCCCUUUUGGCGGGGACGAUGAUGACGGUACCCGCAGAAUAAGCCCCGGCUAACUUCGUGCCAGCAGCCGCGGUAAUACGAAGGGGGCUAGCGUUGCUCGGAAUGACUGGGCGUAAAGGGCGCGUAGGCGGCGGCCAAAGUCAGGCGUGAAAUUCCUGGGCUCAACCUGGGGGCUGCGCUUGAUACUUGGUUGUUUGAGUGGGGAAGAGGGUCGUGGAAUUCCCAGUGUAGAGGUGAAAUUCGUAGAUAUUGGGAAGAACACCGGUGGCGAAGGCGGCGACCUGGUCCUUGACUGACGCUGAGGCGCGAAAGCGUGGGGAGCAAA